rnacentral:rRNA from 1 species
UGGGGAAUAUUGCACAAUGGACGAAAGUCUGAUGCAGCGACGCCGCGUGAGGGAUGAAGGCCUUCGGGUUGUAAACCUUUUUCGCUUUUGACCAAGGCAGCAUUUUGGUGUUGUUGAGGGUAUGAGGUAAAGAAGCUCCGGCUAACUACGUGCCAGCAGCCGCGGUAAUACGUAGGGAGCGAGCGUUGUCCGGAUUUAUUGGGCGUAAAGGGCUUGUAGGUGGCUUGUCGCGUCUGCCGUGAAAUUCCGCAGCUUAACUGUGGUAGUGCGGUGGGUACGGGCAGGCUUGAGUGUGGUAGGGGAGACUGGAAUUCCUGGUGUAGCGGUGGAAUGCGCAGAUAUCAGGAGGAACACCGGUGGCGAAGGCGGGUCUCUGGGCCAUUACUGACGCUGAGGAGCG